rnacentral:rRNA from 1 species
UACGAAGGGGGCUAGCGUUGCUCGGAAUUACUGGGCGUAAAGGGCGCGUAGGCGGACAGUUAAGUCAGAGGUGAAAGCCCAGGGCUCAACCCUGGAAUUGCCUUUGAUACUGGCUGUCUUGAGUAUGGGAGAGGUGAGUGGAACUCCGAGUGUAGAGGUGAAAUUCGUAGAUAUUAGGAAGAACACCAGUGGCGAAGGCGGCUCACUGGUCCGGUACUGACGCUGAGGUGCGAAAGCGUGGGGAGCAAACAGG